rnacentral:rRNA from 1 species
CCUAACGAUUCAACUAGUUGUGGGGAUUCAUUUCCUUAGUAACGUAGCUAACGCGUGAAGUUGACCGCCUGGGGAGUAUGGUCGCAAGAUUAAAACUCAAAGGAAUUGACGGGGACCCGCACAAGCGGUGGAUGAUGUGGAUUAAUUCNGAUGCUACGCGAAGAACCUUACCUACCCUUNGACAUGCCACUAACGAAGCAGAGAUGCNAUUAGGUGCUCGAAAGAGAAAGUGGACACAGGGUGCUGCAUGGCUGUCGUCAGGCUCGUGUCGUGAAGAUGUUGGGUUAAGUCCCGCAACGAGCGCAACCCUUGUCUCUAGUUGCUACGAAAGGGCACUCUAGAGAGACUGCCGGUGACAAACCGGAGGCAGGGUGGGGAUGACGUCAAGUCCUCAUGGCCCUUAUGGGUAGGUCUUCACACGUCAUACAAUGGUGCAUACAGAGGGUUGCCAAGCCGCGAGGUGGAGCUAAUCCCAGAAAAUGCAUCGUAGUCCGGAUCGUAGUCUGCAACUCGACUACGUGAAGCUGGAAUCGCUAGUAAUCGCGGAUCAGCAUGCCGCGGUGAAUACGUUCCCGGGUCUUGUACACACCGCCCGUCACACCAUGGGAGUGGGCUUUACCAGAAGUAGUUAGCCUAACCGCAAGGAGGGCG